rnacentral:lncRNA from 1 species
GGUCCCUACACUACGUGACGUCAUAGGUAUGCUUCCGCCGUCAAACACAAACACCGGGCUUUUUCUGGCUUCUGUGUCGCUUCAGAAUGUAAUAAAAUUUGAUAAAAAGAAGAUUUUUAGACGCAACAAGUGAGUUUUUUGUUUAUUAUUGUAGAAAUAACAUGUCAAUACAUUCCGAAAUUCCAAAUGUCGGCUUCCUUAGUUACAGACAAGGAGAUAGAGAAUUUUACGCUUGCUGUAAUCCAAUCAAAACAAUUGUUACAAAAUAAUUGCAUUAGAAU